rnacentral:rRNA from 1 species
AGUGAACGCUGGCGGUAGGCCUAACACAUGCAAGUCGAACGGCAGCACAGUAAGAGCUUGCUCUUACGGGUGGCGAGUGGCGGCCGGGUGAGGAAUACAUCGGAAUCUACUUUUUCGUGGGGGAUAACGUAGGGAAACUUACGCUAAUACCGCAUACGACCUACGGGUGAAAGCAGGGGAUCUUCGGACCUUGCGCGAUUGAAUGAGCCGAUGUCGGAUUAGCUAGUUGGCGGGGUAAAGGCCCACCAAGGCGACGAUCCGUAGCUGGUCUGAGAGGAUGAUCAGCCACACUGGAACUGAGACACGGUCCAGACUCCUACGGGAGGCAGCAGUGGGGAAUAUUGGACAAUGGGCGCAAGCCUGAUCCAGCCAUACCGCGUGGGUGAAGAAGGCCUUCGGGUUGUAAAGCCCUUUUGUUGGGAAAGAAAAGCAGCAGGUUAAUACCCCGCUAUUCUGACGGUACCCAAAGAAUAAGCACCGGCUAACUUCGUG